GAAAUGCGAUAAGUAGUGUGAAUUGCAGAAUUCAGUGAAUCAUCGAAUCUUUGAACGCACAUUGCGCCCCUUGGUAUUCCAUGGGGCAUGCCUGUUCGAGCGUCAUUUGUACCCUCAAGCUCUGCUUGGUGUUGGGUGUUUGUCCCGUCUCCGCGCGUGGACUCGCCCCAAAGUGAUUGGCAGCCGGCGUACUGGUCCCGGAGCGCAGCACAUGUCGCGCAAACGAGUGCCUUGGUACGGCGGCGUCCAUAAGCCCCUCUCUCACGCUCUUGCCCUCGGAUCAGGUAGGGAUACCCGCUGAACUUAAGC
rnacentral:misc_RNA from 1 species